GUGGGCGCCCGGAGCGCCGUGGAGAGCCCCCCGCGGAAAGCUGCGCGCUCGCCCCUCAGCCGCGCCGCCUUGGCCCGUCGGGCUCAGGGCAGGGCAGGGCUGGGGCUGCUCCCUCGGGAGCGAGGAGGCGCCGGGCUGGAUGGCUGGAUGGUCUCAGGUGCUGGAUGGUUGCAUCGCCCCAGCCGGGCUCGGCCGUGGGAAGCUAUUUGGACCACGCUGCUUUUGGCGCUCGAAUCCCACGGUGCUCCAGCUUCUCGAAACGAAGCAAGUCUCACCCGAAGCAAAUUACACACGUUCCAGCAGCAAUUUACUUUUCCUGAAAGCUGUAGUACACUAUCAAAGUGACAAGCUGUUCUCAAGUUAAAAUAGAAUCCGAUCUCUAAAGUUUUGUCCUUCUGGAGGAAUUAAUAAUUUUUUCCUGGACCAAGCCACUGUGCUUCUGACAUGUACUGUCCCACUGAGCUGUUUAUCUGCCAAAGUGAAAUCCUGGAUAAAUACAUGGAAUCUUCCAGUUUUGCUUGAACAUGACUUGUGCUGAUUGAGAGAGUAUGUCUGGAGAAACACAGCUGGAUGGCAGCCAAAGAGAUACAUCACUGCCCUCACAGUUUGGAGCAUCCAGUCAGUGCUUCGCUAUGAUGGACACACUGACUGUUUUUGAUGUUUGCUUUUUGAAAAACAGUUUCUGCUUUUCUUCUGCUGCCAGAUGCAAGCCUGCAGCCACAGUAGGUGAGUAGGUUGUACUACUGCCAGCCCCUGUAGCUCUAAGGUGGCUGUUAUGGGGGUGAGUUACACAGCAGUUCCUUGCUGUCCUUUCUUUUGUAAGCUCCCAUGGUGAAUGGCAAGCAGCAGAGAGGACUGUGCUUUGGAUAAGCUUUCCAGCUCUGGGGAGGAAGGCUGUUAUUAGCACAGAGUUGAUAGAUGUUCUAACAAUUGUUUGAAUCCAAGUGAGGGGCUGGCAUCUUGCCAGGAGGACAGAUUUGUUGGAAAUGAAGGGUACAGAGAGCCAGGUAUCCACUUCCCAACUCUGUGCUUUGUCAGGGAGUGGUUGCUGUGGAUUUGUGUGAGCCACAGCAGGGACAGCACACACAGAUCCUGCUCCAAUGGAUAAUACAAUUCCCCAGUCACUGGGCAAAGCUGGAUGUUAGAUUUGGGAGUAAUCUCUGUGCCUCUGUUUUGUUAUUACUGAUGUAAACAAUCACAGAGUACUGCAGAAGAGCAGAGCAGACAGCCUUGGUGCUGAGCAGCCCCUUCCUGGGGGAGGCACACCACUGCCUGCAGCCAGUGCUGGGUCCCCAGCCCAGAGCACCCAAACAGGCACCUACCUAUGACUGACUGCAAGAUCCACAACCCACUUUGAUGAGUGCCAACAAAAAUAUCCACGAUCAAUUUAAUUCUUCAUUCAGCUCUGAUAAUUGGUUACAGCAAGUGAUAGUUGGGUGCUGAAUUAAUUUUUGCCCUCUCAAGUUCUGUACUUUGAAAUAUGUCAAAAGACAUGUUGCUAUUUGCUGCAGUUUGGAGUGAUCCAGGAAAUACCAGCUUCUGUUGCUGCUUUUCAACUCCUAAACUUCAAUGGCUAAUUCAAGCUUUAAAAACUCAAAGACUAACAGAUGUGUAAGGAACCUUUUUGAAGAAAAAAAUCAAUCGAAAAAAAUCAAUCAGAAAUUAUUUGAAGUCUAUCAUUUGAAGUCUGUUGGAAAGAAUUUCAAGUCGAUAAAACACAAAUUCACUUUUGUUGUCAGUAUUUACAGCAAAAACACUCCAGGACAGAGAGACCCAAACUGAAAAAUGUUAUUUAUAAAAAUGAAACCAGAUUCCACUGGAGGGGAAUGAAAACUAAAUAGCAGGAUUUAAAGGGAAAACAGGUAGGUUUUGGUGAUAGAUAGCCACCAUGACUUCCAGGUGCUGGGCAGAGCACUUGGUACCACCAGCAUCUUUCCCCGUCCAUGAAACAGAAGAAAGGUAGUGCAAAUCCCUUGUUGGCCUCUGCUUCUAUUUCCAGACUAGCUCUUCUGCUUUAGAUUCACAUUAUUAAUGGGCUAUCUGGGGCACAGACAUCCAGAAAUGAAGCUUUGCAAUACCCAGAAGGCCACAAGCGCUGCCAGGAGUCAGCACCUGAUUUAGAGUCAUGGUGACAAGGCUCAGUUUGAGAUUCAGAGGUGAUGUCCCCUGUCAGAGGCAGAGACAUCUCUGUCUCAGGGUAGCUUUGUGCUGAGUGGACCAAGCCACUUCUAGGCUGGUCCCAAAGAGAUGUGAAGGUCAGAAUGAAGAUGUACAAGGUCACGUGAAGACACACCAAAUAACAAAAAAAUGUCCUUCUUGUGCCAACAGCGAUCUUGCUGCUGUGUUGCAGGCUAGUGAGGUUUAUCUGAGGCUCAUGCAUUUAUCUUUUUUCUUUGGAAAAUAAAGCAGAUCCAUUAAUUCCCCAACAUCCAAGGUAAAUAAAUCCUCUUUUUUUUUUUUUUU